CACGUAGAGUGCGAGCGUUGUCCGGAAUUAUUGGGCGUAAAGAGCUCGUAGGCGGUGUGUCGCGUCGGCCGUGAAAACCUGCAGCUUAACUGUGGGCUUGCGGUCGAUACGGGCAUCACUGGAGUUCGGCAGGGGAGACUGGAAUUCCUGGUGUAGCGGUGAAAUGCGCAGAUAUCAGGAGGAACACCAGCGGCGAAGGCGGCGCUCUGGGCUGGAACUGACGCUGAGGAGCGAAAGCGUGGGGAGCGAACAGG
rnacentral:rRNA from 1 species